GGUCCCGUAGCUCAGAUGGAUAGAGCGGGGCUUUCCUAAAGCCUAGGCCGGCGGUUCGACUCCGCCCGGGACCA
rnacentral:tRNA from 1 species